AACAGCACAGACGAAUUAUGGCUUCUUCUUUGGCAAUGGGGCAGAAAGACAGAGACUUUCUACAAUCUCGGAAUCACCAAUACCCACAGAUUCUGACAGGCAGGGAUAUGUGCACAGUGGCUGGGCAGCAGGGCCAUGGGCUGUGGGGAGCACGAUUUGCAUGCAGUUUCGUACACAGUGUUGCUACAGUGUGGCUGCCCAAAAUUCCCAACAAUGGUACUGACCAUCAUCUUCCAUCCCAUCACCUCUGGCAAGUGUUGGAGCCCAGGACAUGAGAUGUAUUCCCUCAGACUGGCCUGUGACACAAAAUCCCAGCCUGAGCAGCACCAACACCCUUGUCUCUCAGGCAUCUGCCCAGUGGCAAGCCAGAUGAUGUGUUAUUUUCCCAAGGUGAAAUAUGAAUUUGGUUUAUCACUAAAUCAAAAGGGCCAGCUUAUUUUAUAUUGAAUGGUAGUUUCAUCCAUAAAAAAAAAAUUCUUUGUACUUUAUUACUCAUAAAAGGCAUCACUUUUUUGGUCUGAAGACCAAACUUUCAUUUAAAAGCUGAUUUCAAAGGCUGACAACAUGUGAAGUGUCCCUCCUGUAUGGAGCCUGUACACCCCUCUGAUGGCUUUAAACCUCUGACACACUCUAUACUCUUCAGAUCUACAUGAGUCCUUCAGGAGGUCUCUCUUGCCUGGCAUGCUCAUCCAGGGAAAUUGUCCCCAGAGCAGGGGAGCAUCAGCAUGGUCUGCAAGCAGAACACUGAGCAGAGGGACCUGCAGGCAAAAUAACCUUGAGGGGCAUCACCACAUACCAUAUGUAGGAUAAGCAGGUGUGUGUGGACACCAAUGAACCAA